CUACGGGGGGCAGCAGUGGGGAAUAUUGGACAAUGGGCGAAAGCCUGAUCCAGCCAUGCCGCGUGUGUGAAGAAGGCCUUCGGGUUGUAAAGCACUUUCAGUGGGGAAGAAAGCCUUGGGGCUAAUACCCUCGAGGAAGGACAUCACCCACAGAAGAAGCACCGGCUAACUCCGUGCCAGCAGCCGCGGUAAUACGGAGGGUGCGAGCGUUAAUCGGAAUUACUGGGCGUAAAGCGCGCGUAGGCGGUCUGAUAAGCCGGUUGUGAAAGCCCCGGGCUCAACCUGGGAACGGCAUCCGGAACUGUCAGGCUAGAGUGCAGGAGAGGAAGGUAGAAUUCCCGGUGUAGCGGUGAAAUGCGUAGAGAUCGGGAGGAAUACCAGUGGCGAAGGCGGCCUUCUGGACUGACACUGACGCUGAGGUGCGAAAGCGUGGGUAGCAAACAGGAUUAGAUACCCGAGUAGC
rnacentral:rRNA from 1 species